rnacentral:rRNA from 1 species
UACAGAGGGGGCAAGCGUUGUUCGGAAUUACUGGGCGUAAAGGGCGCGUAGGCGGCCUUCUAAGUCGAACGUGAAAUCCCCGGGCUCAACCCGGGAACUGCGUCCGAUACUGGAAGGCUUGAAUCCAGGAGAGGGAUGUGGAAUUCCAGGUGUAGCGGUGAAAUGCGUAGAUAUCAGGAAGAACACCCGUGGCGAAAGCGGCUCUCUGGAACGGUACUGACGCUGAGACGCGAAAGCGUGGGGAGCGAACAGG